rnacentral:rRNA from 1 species
GGGCCCGCACAAGCGGUGGAGCAUGUGGCUUAAUUCGAUGCAACGCGAAGAACCUUACCUGGGUUUGACAUGUAUUUGAAUAUGGCCGAAAGGUUAUAGUCCUUCGGGACGGAUACACAGAUGCUGCAUGGCUGUCGUCAGCUCGUGUCGUGAGAUGUUCGGUUAAGUCCGGCAACGAGCGCAACCCUCGCCCUAUGUUACCAGCGGAUAAAGCCGGGGACUCUUAGGGGACAAACCUAUUUUUAGGUGGGAAGGUGGGGAUGACGUCAAGUCAGUAUGGCUCUUACAUCCAGGGCUGCACACGUGCUACAAUGGUCGGUACAAUGGGAAGCGACACCGCGAGGUGAAGCGGAUCCUGAAAGCCGAUCCCAGUUCGGAUUGGAUGUCUGCAACUCGACUCCAUGAAGCCGGAAUCGCUAGUAAAGGCGUAUCAGCUACGACGCCUUGAAUACGUUCCCGGGCCUU